GAGCACCAGGCACCGCACAGGGAGCACCAGGCACUGCAGAGGGAGCAUCAAGUACCACAGAGGGAGCACCAGGUUGGCACCCUUGUAACCUGCUUUACUUUUCUCACUGUGUGUGACCUUCAGCAGUCACUCCAUGUCCUCACAUGACCCUGACCAACAAGAAAUGAGUCAGAGUGAUUUGAGGUGAUGCAGCGGGCCUCCCAAACAAUAUAGGCAAUACAUUCCAGAAUACUCCCCAAACUUGCAGUGGAUGUCUGGAGCCAUGGGCAGUAUCUGCCUUAAUUACUGCCUCCUCACCUUAGCUACAGGAUUGGCACGAUAGCUAUAACUUUUGGAGUUUGCAUUGUCUCAGCAGAGAUGACCCAUAUAUCUUUUUCUGUUCUUAGACUUCCAAGGCUGGAAGCUUAGUUUGUCUUUAAGUCUUAACGGUCUUGGUGUGUGUGACAUUUUUCUUCAUUAAGCAUUAUGCUUUAUGACUCUUCUGUCACAUCUGAAUAGCCAGUUCACUUGUUCUUUGGGGAGACUGGUAACUAUAGCAAGAACCUCUUAGUGACAAACACUGCCAUACUGUGACAGACAGCCUAAUCUCCAAGAUGAUUCCAAGAGACUAUCGGGAGGGUAGUGCAUACACUGGACAGGGGCAAGUCACAUCCUGACCAGGACAGGGUAAUAUAUUACAAGAUCUCAUCCCUCUACCCAAAUGGCAUGUAAUUUAAAGCUCAAAAGCAAUCAAUUGUAGUCCUCCAUUUAAUAUUAUCAGGCCCCAGUUGCCCAUAGGUGGCUGAAACUCUGAACAUGAAGCCACCAGUAAAGGAAAGACUGCUUAGAGUGGUGUCAAGACUCAGGACAAGUCACAUCAGUGACAAUUCGAGUCCAAGUCAAAAUAAGCAAAGGGCAGGACUAGAUUAGGGACAGGACCACCUGAAGGUCUGGGAGUUCUGCUUUGUCCAUCUGCUUUUCUAGAUCAGGAGAGUGGGGAGCCUACAGGAGAUAUGUUCAGCCAAGUGGCACUUCUCAGAGAGUGGUAGGCAAGCAAAGAGGCUGACACACUGGGCUGCCGUCCACUCACAAAGGACAGCCCUUCCUCUAGAAAGGAAUCAAAUUCACCAAGGUGAUUUAAGGUGGAUGCAGCUUCUCAGUCGUCCAACCUGGAACUGCAAACAUCCACCAUGGUCCUUGUCUUCUGACAGGUUCAAGUCUGUCUCUCCUCUUCUCCCACCUGAGCCAGAGAGGCAUGCACCAGGAAAAAAAAAUCAGGAAGGCACCUAGGGGCCUCUGAAUGGAUGCCUGUCACUGCUCAGUACCCAGCAUUCUCUUGGUCAGGAAUGAAGCAUGGGGCCUGAACUCAGGAUCUGGAGUUUUCUUGCAAGGGUGGCAUUCCAUGUGCUCUGCAGUUGCUGAUGAUCAGUCAGCUCAUCCAUGACCCGGGAGCUGAGCUGAAGGACACAGAGGAUCAUGAGACUGCACAAGAACCAGGACAGUGUAGAGUGGCCAUGCCCACAGGUGACACUGAGAUGUGACAGGACUGUCCCCCACACCAAACUGCCUCUAUCUUCAGGAAUCCAGCUGGACCCUCUUGGCAUUGACCUUCCCUCUUGGAAAGAAAGAGUGAGGAGGCUCACGGGACCCUCACCUGAGUAUCCAACUACUUUACCAGCCAGUAGCAUGUGAUUCUGCUCUAAUUGAACAUAACCUUGGAGUCUCUGGGAGAUGCUAGAGGAUCUGGGUGGGGAAGACUAAGGGAGUGGGUACCAUCCGCACACCCACAGGGAGCCAUCCUCUGUAUUGGCUGUGGACAGUCUAUGUUUAAGGUUACUCAUGCUCUUUGCCUGUAACCCCUCACUGGUUGCUCUGUAAGCCUAAUAAACGCCUUGGUUUCUCAGAGUGAA